UACGGGGGGGAGCAAGCGUUGUUCGGAUUUACUGGGCGUAAAGGGCGCGUAGGCGGCGUGACAAGUCACUUGUGAAAAUCUCCGGGCUUAACUCGGAACGGUCAAGUGAUACUGUCGUGCUAGAGUACAGAAGGGGGCAACUGGAAUUCUCGGUGUAGCGGUGAAAUGCGUAGAUAUCGAGAGGAACACCUGCGGCGAAGGCGGGUUGCUGGGCUGAUACUGAGCUGAGGCGCGAAAGCUAGGGGGAGCGAACGGG
rnacentral:rRNA from 1 species